UUAUUAUAUAUGUUAGUAUCGGCACUUCAUCUGGUAGAGCUGCCGGUGACAAGCCGACUCGACGGUGGAGUCGAUUGUCCACGCAGAUAAUGACAGCAACACUCCGAAAGAGACAGAAACUCUCACAUGUACCGACAAAUAUCGACACCUCAUCUGGUGAAAAGCCGACACCAAGGUGGUGGCAAACAGACAAUAAUUUUCGGAGAUGUUUGACUUAGAUUAUUGGAGCAGCGAACAUCAAGAAUAAACACAGACUAAGGACCGCUCUAAUAUGGAGUGGAAGCUUUGGAAAGCUGCUUACAAUGGCGACAAAGCCUUAGUGAAAAACCUCUUAGAAAAAGGUGCCGACCUGGAUAAG